GACGAACGCUGGCGGCGUGCUUAACACAUGCAAGUCGAACGAUGAAGUUCCUUCGGGAAUGGAUUAGUGGCGAACGGGUGAGGAACACGUGAACAAUCUGCCCCUUACACGGGAAUAACUUCGGGAAACCGAAGCUAAUACCCGAUAUUGAAUUCGGUAGGCAUCUACUGAAUUUGAAAUGGUCCGCCGGCAAGGGAUGAGUUCGCGGCCUAUCAGCUUGUUGGUGAGGUAGCGGCUCACCAAGGCGACGACGGGUAGCCGGCCUGAGAGGGCGACCGGCCACACUGGGACUGAGACACGGCCCAGACUCCUACGGGAGGCAGCAGUGGGGAAUAUUGCGCAAUGGACGAAAGUCUGACGCAGCAACGCCGCGUGAGGGAUGACGGCCUUCGGGUUGUAAACCUCUUUCAAUCGGGACGAAGCGAAAGUGACGGUACCGAUACAAGAAGCACCGGCUAACUAUGUGCCAGCAGCCGCCGUAA
rnacentral:rRNA from 1 species